ACCUGAUGGGCUUAGUCAGGAAAGCAUGUGACUUUUGAUCUCAGGGUUGUGAAUUCCAGCCACACAUUAGGUG
rnacentral:tRNA from 1 species